rnacentral:rRNA from 1 species
CACGUAGGGUGCGAGCGUUGUCCGGAAUUAUUGGGCGUAAAGAGCUUGUAGGCGGUUUGUCGCGUCUGCUGUGAAAUUUCGGGGCUCAACCCCGAACUUGCAGUGGGUACGGGCAGACUAGAGUGUGGUAGGGGAGACUGGAAUUCCUGGUGUAGCGGUGAAAUGCGCAGAUAUCAGGAGGAACACCGAUGGCGAAGGCAGGUCUCUGGGCCAUAACUGACGCUGAGACGCGAAAGCGUGGGGAGCGAACAGG